rnacentral:rRNA from 1 species
UACGUAGGGGGGCAAGCGUUGUCCGGAUUUACUGGGCGUAAAGCGCACGUAGGCGGAUAUUUAAGUCAGGGGUGAAAUCCCAGAGCUCAACUCUGGAACUGCCUUUGAUACUGGGUAUCUUGAGUAUGGAAGAGGUAAGUGGAAUUGCGAGUGUAGAGGUGAAAUUCGUAGAUAUUCGCAGGAACACCAGUGGCGAAGGCGGCUUACUGGUCCAUAACUGACGCUGAGGUGCGAAAGCGUGGGGAGCAAACAGG